CCAGACUCCUACGGGAGGCAGCAGUGGGGAAUAUUGCACAAUGGGGGAAACCCUGAUGCAGCGACGCCGCGUGAGUGAAGAAGUAUUUCGGUAUGUAAAGCUCUAUCAGCAGGGAGGAUAAUGACGGUACCUGAGUAAGAAGCCCCGGCUAACUACGUGCCAGCAGCCGCGGUAAUACGUAGGGGGCAAGCGUUAUCCGGAUUUACUGGGUGUAAAGGGAGCGUAGACGGCAUGGCAAGUCUGAAGUGAAAGCCCGGGGCUCAACCGCGGGACUGCUUUGGAAACUGUUAAGCUGGAGUGCAGGAGAGGUAAGUGGAAUUCCUAGUGUAGCGGUGAAAUGCGUAGAUAUUAGGAGGAACACCAGUGGCGAAGGCGGCUUGCUGGACGAUGACUGACGUUGAGGCUCGAAAGCGUGGGGAGCAAACAGGAUUAGAUACCCCCGUA
rnacentral:rRNA from 1 species